rnacentral:rRNA from 1 species
AUGGAUCCUAAUGCAAAUUUGAUGAAAGGAAAGAUGGUGGCUAACACAUGCAAUAAUAAUGUACCUGUGGCUAACACAUCCUGGUUCCCUCCAAUCCUUGAGAGUGUUAAACUUAACACGGAUGGUUCGGUCCUGAAUGGAAUUACAGGGACUGGUAUGGUUUUUCGGGAUCACAUUGGCGCUAUUAUUUUCAGCUCAUGCAGAUUUCUGGGAGAAUGUGAAGAUGCUUUGGAAACGGAAAUUAUUGCGCUUCGGGAAGGGAUUUCAAUGGAUUUGCAGUGGAGGAGUUUAUCCAUUAAUGUUGAAUCAGACUAUUUAAAGGUUGUGGCCAUGGUGAAGAGUAGUGAAAGCAAUUUAUCAAAGUAUUCUAUUAUUAUCAGAGAGAUCAAGCAAUGCAACUAUGGCCGAACGUGA